UAUUGAUGUACUGUAUGCCAAUAGGCUG
rnacentral:piRNA from 1 species